rnacentral:tRNA from 1 species
AUCAAAGUAGCUCAAACUUAGAGCUUUGCAUUGAAGCUGCAAAGGUGAUUACGAUCCUUUGAUA